rnacentral:rRNA from 1 species
UACGUAGGCAGCGAGCGUUGUUCGGAGUUACUGGGCGUAAAGCGCGCGUAGGCGGAUUUGCAAGUCGGGGGUGAAAGCCCGAGGCUCAACCUCGGAACUGCCUUCGAUACUGCAAAUCUCGAGUCCGAGAGAGGUGAGUGGAAUUCCUAGUGUAGAGGUGAAAUUCGUAGAUAUUAGGAAGAACACCAGUGGCGAAGGCGGCUCACUGGCUCGGUACUGACGCUGAGGCGCGAAAGCGUGGGGAGCAAACAGG